AUUAAGUGAGGUUGUCUGAAUGAC
rnacentral:miRNA from 1 species